rnacentral:lncRNA from 1 species
UUCCUAAAUCUCAUUCAUACUCUGGCCAGAGAUUCUAAAUCAUAUCAUAGAGUAUUCUCCCCCAAACAGUUUGAAGGUUGGAGAUCCCUUGUUGCGCAUUCACUUGCCUCCAUAGCUAAGUGGCUUAACCCCAACGAUGCCGUGGACACCCGCGGAUGGGGUGACUUUAACAUAAUCAAAGAUCAAGGACUUAACCACAAGACAGCUGUGAUGCCUCAGGUCAAAGGACUAAUUUGCAUUAUCCCAACCAUGAGUUCUCAUGUGACAUGAAUAUGAGAACUCUUCGUUGAUCGUGUUCAGUGAACUCAUUCUCUAUUGAGCACCUACGUACUUGUCUUGAUGUCACACACACCAAUGACUCGAGACUAGUCACUCUCCCUGAGAGAAGACAAAGCACGUACUGAUCUUAACGGACUGUCAAUGCCCAAUUGGCAAUCCUAUGAUCAGGAACGUUUAGGAUGUGUUUACGAAAGAAUGGUCUCAUGAAUCUAACUUCUUUAGAUUGCAUUCUCCCAAUCACAUAUUCCUUGGACUUAUCGUUUAAGCAUAUAACAUUUAUAUGAGACGGCUCAAACAAUAAUGUUUGCCCUUGAUAUUAAACUAGAUUAGUUUAACAUGUGAAAUGUCCGUAAAGUAUCAUCAUAUGAUUGGUUUUAGGGCACAUUUCCAACAGCUUUUGCUUGAACUCCUUCGGUUUUUGCUAGUUGUUUAUCAAUUUUUGCUAGAAAAUUUAAUAAACUUGCUUCCUUCACUUUUCUUCAUCUUCGAUUCUUUUUGGCCUCCUUUGUCUCGGACAAAAUUGCACCUACAAAACAAUUACACUUUAGGGUCAAGGCCAAAAGCCCCACGCACCCACGAUGAAUGGGGCGGGGGCUUUGGCCGAAGAUCCUCCGAUGCCAAAAUUAGAAUUUAGGGAGAAAAGUGUUUUGAGAGUAUUUGAAAUUUUUGCUAGAGAAUUAGACACCCACUUUGAAGAAAAGAAAGGGGUUUAAAUAGAAGAGUGGCCGGCCUCUUAGGGUGGGAGAGGACGGGCCACUUAGCCUUGUUUGUGGGUUUUGUUCAUGAUUUAUGAUGAUUUUGGGAGUUAUGUGAUUAAUUGACUAAUUAAUUUAGCAAAAUAGGAUUAUUACCAAAUUAAUUAGCUAAUCAAUGGGAUGAAAUGGGUAAAUAUGGUGAGAUCAACUAGGAUGGCCGGCCCUUUGGGAGUUUUUGAUCUAAAAUGGAAGAUUUAAUUACCAAUUAACAUAUUGUUUAGGAAUAAAUAUAUUAAUUGGCUAAUUAAUAUUAUAAAAGGAAUGUAUUCAGGAAUUUAUGGUAUAAUUAGCUAAUCAAUUGAAUAAUAGAUUAGCUAAUCAAUGUCAAAAAAGGAAAAUUUUGGUGGAAAGGAGGAAAUGGUCAGCUUCCUUUGGAGAAGGGAUAUCCGGCUUUUAGGGUAAGUUUUGGGCUUAAUUGAUAAUUUAAUUGGUUGAUUAAUGAAUUAUUUAGAAAUUAAUUCAUUAAUUAACCAAUUAAUCUCCAUUUAUAUGGAAUAAUUUAGAGGUUUUGAAAUGAUUUUCUUGUAGAGAAUAUGGAGCAAAGAUGGAUGAGAUAAGUUUGAACUUAUUUACCUUUUUUGGGCGUUUUUGACUUGGUUGAGGAUGAUUGCCCGCUACCCAUGCGUAGGAAUCCUGAUACACCUCAAAGGUAUUUUUGUCUUCCUCAUCCAAAAAUCCACGUGUCGCUUUAUCAUUAUUUUUGGCUCCACAUCCGGGUAUUUGUGUAUUAUUUACCAAAACCAAAAAUGUAAAACAUCCAUCUAGCAUGCGCAGAUAUAUCCACGGCUUCACUAUAUAUUUGUGUUUACCUGGUGUUGUAAUAUUGACUGCAUCAUCUAUUUAAGUCAUGGAUAUUCUAUAUUUUAAUUAUUUGUUGACAUUGACACACAAUCAAGCCUUUUAUCUACAUUGUUGUUUGCAUACGUUUUCGUGAGAUCUACUUUAUAAUGUAUUUCAAUGACUUAAUCAUGUAUCUUUAAUGUCUUACUUAAAAAUUCAUGUUUACUAAAAAUCUUCCAAAUUCGAAACCAUAUAACCGUUGGAUUACAUUAGUGUUUCUUUGUAGAAUUUUAUUUGUCCGUUUUCUUCACUACAAAUGAAUAUCUUAAUGGAUUUGACUUUAUCUAAUUUCUUGGAAUGAUGAUGUAUGAAUGAUGCACUAAAAUGUAGAUGAUUCAGAUCGCUGAAAUACAUUACAAAAUGAACUUUAUAAAAUGAGUAUCAAAAUAUGUGUCAAAAGUGUAACAUCCCACAUCGCCCAGGGGAGUGAUCCUUAAAUGUAUAUUCACAUCCCUACCUAGCACGAGGCCUUUUGGGAGCUCACUGGCUUCGGGUUCCGUAGGAACUUCGAAGUUAAGCAAGAAAGGGGCCGGAGCACUCCCAGGAUGGGUGACCCACUGGGAAGUUGCUCGUGAGUU